GGGCUUGGCAGCCCACUCCCUCCUCACUUGCUCUCAUUUCCCACUCUCCACUCCUCUCCACUCCUCUCCUUUGCCUCAUUUCUUUUCACUCCCUACUAUUUCCUCCACUCCCUCACACUCUCCUCCUCCACUUCCCCACGAAAAUGGUGCUCCCCUUGCUCCCAUGGCCGGCCAUGGCCAUGGAAAGCCACCAAGAUGAAGCUCCCUUCCUCCCUCAAGCUCAUCCUCACCAUGAGAGCCUCCCCCUCCAUCUUCUCCCCAACCUUAGAUGGUUUAAUCUCCUCUUCUUCUCCCUCCAUUGCUAAGAUUGGAUCUUGAUGCAGGUGCAUGUUGGUCCAAGCAUGGAGAAGGUUGAGCUAUCCUCAGAUCUGAAGUUCUUGAGCAAAAUCCAACUCGAGUGGUUCAAAGUUCUGCAGAUAGAUCAAAAUCUGGUCAGAUCUGACUUUGUCGAAUUAAACCAGGAGCUUGGAGACGAAUUUUUGAAUGAAACCAACUGGAUGCGAACAAUUCCGGAGAAGAAGAACAAGUGGAAUCGGAUGAGAAGAUUUUAUUUAUAUUGUUGGGAUUGUUAUAUUGAUGGAGUUGAAGAAGUACAGGGACAAAUAAGCCAAGAUCAAAAUCUGGUCAGAUCUGACUUUGUCGAAUUAAACCAGGAGCUUGGAGACGAAUUUUUGAAUGAAACCAACUGGAUGCGAACAAUUCCGGAGAAGAAGAACAAGUGGAAUCGGAUGAGAAGAUUUUAUUUAUAUUGUUGGGAUUGUUAUAUUGAUGGAGUUGAAGAAGUACAGGGACAAAUAAGCCAAGACUUGAAGGAGUUCGACAGAUGAAGAAGGAGUUGGCGACGUCUAUGCGAGCUAGGAACGUCUUCCCAGUCAGUUACCUGUAGGGUUAUGGCAGAUGACUUGGGUACUGCGCUGCUGAAGUGAUGAUGCUACUCUGAUGUUUAGUUAGGCCCUUCGAGGCUAUUAUGGAAUUUCGGACAGCUAGUCCGGGGUCCCCACAGAGCUGGUAUCAGAGCCAUCCUGACUGUAGGAGACUUUAGUUAGCAUGGACGUUAGUUAGGAAACAAGUACUUGGACAAAACUAUUUACAAAACAAAUUGUUUCUUUAGUCGGAAGUAUAGCUUCUACUCCUCUUAUUUAUUCAAAGCUUCUAAAAUUCUUACCUCUCCGCUUUAUAAAAAGGUUUGAAAAUUCUUACUCUAUUGUCUCAGCCAAUUCAAACCUACAUAUUGGACGAUGUCCCCAACUCAGACUGGAGACUCGAACUCGAAGAUGGCUCAAUCCCUCAGGAAGACUCAUAUAUCUCCAACUGCAGCUAUUGAAGAUUGGAUGCCGACGUAGCCGUGUGCUUGUUGGGAUGAUAACAUCAUGUCUUUGGUUGUCACCAAAGUCUGUCAAGGAGCUGACCUUCUUCCUCCGUGGACUUGCACUUUUUGCAGUCAUCUGGGAUCAAGUCCUCAGUUCUUGACUAGUAAUUUUUAGGCCAGCUACAAGAAGUUGACGAUUUCGGGAGUACCUCAACAACUACCUCUUCGAAGACCUCACGUCCCCGGGAUGUUGAGCAAGAAGACUACGCAGUUUUCUCCUCCGCCUCAACAUAGAAGACCGAACACCAGGCCUGCUUCGCAACCAACUGCCCCGAAAAUCCAUGUUGGAGUCCAUAAGAGCAAAAUGAAGACGGCAACAUAUGUGACCAGCCCCCAAGCGAAUAGGAUGGAUAGGACAAACUCAAUCGCUUUGAUUGAGCUACCCCCACGCAUUAGGCAUUCCAUGGGUACUUAGGUUACCAUGCCUGGUUUGAUGAUUGCUUGUAGUUCCCUUGUGUGCUGCCUUGAGUGUCUUUUGUUUGUUUGUUGUGUGUAUAAU